GCACAUGCAAGUGGAGGGCGACACAGGUCCGCUGACUCGCGCGCCCUUUGCAGUCGCAUCGACACGCUCACAACUCUUCUUCACCGCUGCCCUGUGUUGCCGUGCAAUCCUCUUCGGCCGCCCUCGAUCCACCUGCGUCUCUGUCCGUGGCCCGGCUGUUUCGCUGCACGCGGCCAAGAGUGUGCUCGUGCCGCUUUGCCACCCCCCUGCACACCUUAGGCACUCCUUCCCCCCACCACCUCACUGCACGCGAAGUACACCCUCAUGCGAGAGGAGAACAAUGCGCCACCGGCGUGGGCUCCCAGGGACACGCACCGCGCCGACCCUCUUCAGCUGCUUUCCUCCUCUCAGAAGCACUGCGGGCUGAGCAGUGCUGCGGAGAGCGGACAGGGCUGUCACUCGCGCUCACGCGGCAAGUCGGAGGUGGAUUCGACUCGAGCGGCGAGCGGUGAUAAGAGUAGCGCCAGCACACUGCCGAGAAAGGAUGAAUGGUCAAAUGCGGUAUCACAGACCCUACCCUCUCGGAAACGCGGAUAUCCUCGACGAUCCGCGGCACAAUGUCUGCCUUCACAAAUUCAAAAACGUUUCCUGGUUGCGCUAGCCGUCUUACUUGCUCUCAUAGUCAUGGUUCACUGGGCCAUCAGCCCAAAUACGACCGAUAGUGGAACACAACAGAAACCCUUAAUAGAGUUGCCCAAUGAAGCGGCCCGUCUAUCUGAGUUCCCAUCGCCGUUUUCUGUUCUUGUGCAGCACAAGAGCGCUUGGGAGCAGUUGACGACCACACAGCGUGGCCUUGCUGCCGCUGGCGCUGGCUCUCUGGUGCGGCUGGACCGUGAUCAGCUGCCUUCGUGGACGCUGCGCGUGAUCGACGAGGACUGCACGAUGUGCUUCGACAAUGUCACGUACGCUUCUGCGGUUGCUGCGAAUGCGGGGAGAUCGACUGACAGGACGGGAAACCAGAGGCUAAAAGGGCUUUCCGUGUUCGCGACAACAUCUGCGCCGCUGGGCCUCAUGGGGCCCAUGUUGUUUGCCAUGGCGAGCGUGACGGACGACGUGGACGUAGCAGCUGAACUGCCGCGGUGGCAAUGGGUGACCCGGUCGUACGCGCAGCAGCGCCGCUUCGUCCACGCGUCGCAGUCGAGGGGCACAGGUGAGCGACCGCGGCACUUGAUCGUGGUGGGCGUACCUUCCACGGACCAGCCGAUGCGCUACCCGCUGCGGGACGCGCAGCGGGCGACGUGGUUGACGUACCGAGAGGUUGCGCGCACCGAGAACAACUUUACUGGCGCGCUGCUGCAGCUCUACGUGUUCGCUGCUGCACACCGAGAUUCUGACUACACAGCGCAGUACCUCGCGGACAUGGCGCAGCUGGCCCCAACAGUGAGCGAGUACGCCGCAGCGACUGCGCAGCACCUGGCUGCGGAGGGUGGAGACGUCAACAAUGCACCCCCCUACGUGCAGCGUCGCGUGGUGCUGCGUGAUGGGUGGCGCGACAUCCCAAGAAGCGAUGACGCGGUGUGGAAGUCACCCUGCGCUGGUGUAAGGACCUCCGUGGUGACUACGGCAAGUCUUGUGGACGGGACCUCGCCCCUCGCGGCUCUUUCAGCCCAGUUGUCGCUGCCCGUGACACCUGCCUUCACAGCAGCGGCGCAGUACGUGUGCCACGUGUCCGCUGCAUUGUGGCAGGAGGCGCUGCACCACCGCGACUCGCUGUGGCUGGACUUUUUGGCUGACCUCAGGCCAGUAACAACGAAGCAAAUGGGCGACGCUAUCUCUUGGGGUGUUCCAGCAGAAGUAGGCAUGACUCAAAAAGUCGUUUUGUGGCUGAACUACGCGUACACUGCCUUCCCAGACGUGCCGUACAUCAUGAAGGGCGACGACGACACGUACUUGAAGGUGCCACAGUACUUGAGCGACCUGCGCCAUGUGCGCGGUGGGUGGGCGAAACCGCGCAACUUGAAGGCGACCAUUCCGCACAAAGGGGCUGUCCCACCGACGCUGGGCAUCGACGACGCGGAGGAAUGCCUGUAUCGAGUGUGGUGGUACGAAAUCAACGAGGUUGUCUAUGGCCAUGGUCCUGGCUAUGCACUAGACCGUCGCCUCAUCCAAGCUGUACUGAACCCAUUCGAUAUCAAUAACGAUCUUUUGCUGACGCUAUUAACGGUGCCGUACACCUUCAGCUAUCACAGUCAUUAUUUGAGCCUGCUCAUGCAGCACGAGGACCUUUUCAUUGGAAAGCAACUGCAGAGGCUUCCACAUAGGGUGAAAGAAGUCUGCACGAAGCGUCCACUGUGCUACGUAUCGGACAAAGAACCACGCUCGCUUCAGGUUCUCCGACCCGCGCCCUCCCAUCAGACCUGGACAUGGAGCUCGGUAUUGAUGCACUAUGCUAUGCCGGCGAUUCCUUAUUUCAUCCACUACUACUUCAAGCACGAGUUCAAGGUAGCCGAGGCGGCUAAAGGGGCACUUAAGCAGGGCAUCGAUGCCAGCGCCAUCGAUGCGAAUGCCACACAGAAAAUGAAGGAGUGGGUGGCGUCGCAAGUGCCGACGACGCUGGCGGACCUGAAAAGGGUGCAGAAUGUAAGCUGGGUGCGCGGAGACCCACGCACGGCGUACGUUGUAGCUGAGGGGGACGGCGUUGCAGUGUACGAUAUUGCGUACAGGCCUCGCAACACGACACUUGUCGAAUGUGCCAUCGAGUCUGGAAAGUAGUGCAACACGUUUCUUUACUGUCGCCCUCCACCCUUGGCCGUCAAGCAUGACCUCGAGCACCUUGCGAUGGAGGGGAACUGCUGAAUUAAGACGCAAGAAGCGUGAGCCUCGGUGACCGCUGAAAUGAGAGCCGUUCGUCUUUCUGUCUUUUUCUCUGCACGCUCCCCACUAGAAACUCAUCUCUGUCUCAGGACCUUAGACAAACGUUUUUCUCCCGCUUCUCUGACACACGUCUACCCGCUGUGAGAAUCGACGCGCUUUCUUGUGGCCAAGAGUACUAGUUGAGAGAGGUAGCCACAAUGGCCGACCUUCUUCUUUUUCACUGGUGUCUCCAUCUACAUUUGUCUGCUGGCUGAUUUGUGAAGCAAACUCGGUAGUUGUGAAUUCACGAAGGACCCGACCGUGUGCGAGAGCUUUUUUUUCGAUGUGAGCGCGUGUGCUUGUGGGAAGUGCCUCAAUGUGCGUCUUGCACUCUGCCAACGAGAGUACCAACACAUACACGUAGUACGUGCACUACCACCACUCUGGCUGACUCCAACCCCAUUCUUUUUUUUCGGCCUGCGCAAGCAGCGUCUCUCUCCUGUUUUCUUUGCUUUAGCGUAUGCCGAAACUGCUGGUGUGUAGCUCCUUCUUUUUGUGUUGGCCUGCACCAAUGCUCUUUUGCUGUUUAUGAAAUAACUCCUGACUCCACCCCUUGUGAGGCACUGCUCUAUUCGACCUCCUUUUUUUUUUCGCGACUUUUCUCCCCGUGUAAACAACAAAGGAGAAGUUCGGCCUCUCUUCCACGUUUCUCUUCUUCGCGUUCUCCUGUGUGAUGAGUGUAGAGAAUAGGCAACUGCGCAGCACACGCUUCCGUCCUUUGAUCUUUCUGCUAUACAGGAACUGGCGCUCCGCGUGCGCUACACUGAAUCUGUUGUGAAGGAAAAACGGUUUAAAUAUCCCUCUUGAUGUUCACCGUAUUGUGUCUAUGCUUUCACGUGCGUCUGUGUGUCACUCCUUCAUGGGCGUGCAACGCACAGCGCCACAUCUUCCGAGAGUGCUCCGAUCCAUCUCCCACACUUCUUUUCUUUGGCACGACGGUGGCGAUGCGCAACCACAUUCUUUCCCCCUUUGCCUCUGUGUCCGUUGCUGUCGGCAUCAUGGGCCGCUCUCUCGUUUUGCACAGGCAUCGUCAUCCCACGCCAUACCAUCUGCGAUGCUGCGCCGUUAAUCACUAUCUGUCUUUACUGUGGCACACACACGAAAAACAGAAUUGACAAACAGCUGCGCACUCUCUGGUGCAAAGGGCUUGGAGGGUAGUUUGCCGCUCCAUGCUUUGGCUUCACAGUGGUGGCGGUGUUUUAUUUUGUAGGCGACUGUGUGAUUGUGUUGAGUCGAUGUAUGAGCGUGCGUCACAACAACUCCUCAGCGACUUUGCAUUACACACAACACGAGGAGAGGUAAGCAGGCACGCCACCUGUGCGACUCCAUAUGUGCACGUGCGCGUAUGUCUCUUCCUUUUCUCUUGUUUUUUGCUGCGUUAUGCCCCAUCUCUUUCUUUACACUCUCGUUACGUAACGACACACGUCGUUUUGUUGCUCAGGUGCAAUGCCUUUCUUUCUUUUCUGUCUCCCUCUUUUUUUGCUAUUGUUGUUUGUCGAGCUGAUCUUACGUUGCAG
rnacentral:misc_RNA from 1 species